rnacentral:sRNA from 1 species
UUGAUGGAAUCGAACUUGGUAUAAGUUU